GUCAAUGGGGCAGAUGUGAUUGGCCGGCUGGAUCACACUGCCACCAGUUAGGAGGAGCUUCUGAUUCUGCAAGAAUAGGCUGAUUUGCUGUGUCAGAGGCGAGCUCUUCCAGUUCCCGUCACACAGGCAGCAGCAGAGCUGCAGACGUACAGCAGAGCCGCAGCGUCUAGUCUGUGAGAGACCUUCCACAGCGGCUCCUGACAGACAGUGAUCCUGUCUGGGCAUCAUGCAAUAUCGGGGUGUUUGUCUGUUUGCAGUGUUCUGGUGUCCACAGGAUAUCAGCAAUUGGCAAAGUCAAAUCUACACAACUAGAUAACAUGGAUCAUGACCUGGUAGAGUUCAUGAGAAGUCACGGGAAUCAGAAAGCAAAGAAAGAAUAUGAAGCCUGUGUGCCUCCGUUUUACUACAGACCCACUGAAAAUGAUUGCAUGGUAUUAAAGGAACAGUGGAUCAGAGCAAAGUAUGAACGACGAGAGUUUACAAGUAACAGAAACUCUGCAUACGCAGUAGAAUAUAAAGAGGGUUUCCUAUUGAAGAAAGGACGAGACAAUGGACAAUUUUUAAAGAGACUUUUUGAAUUCUCUGAGAGUGAGGGGCUGCUGAAAUAUUACACUAAAGAAAAACGUUUCGGUCCGAAGGGCAAGAUUCCGAUACAAAGUCUGAAUGCCAUGUUCCAAGUCGAUAAAAUUAAACACCCACAUGGGCUGGAGAUUACCUGUGUUGAAGGUGGACGGACUAGGAGUGUAUAUGUUUACCACAAAGACGGGGAGGAAAUAGUCACUUGGUUUAAUGUGCUACGGUCAGCACGGUUCAAUUACUUGAAGAAGACCUUCCCAGAAACCCAAGAGGCUGAGUUACUACCCAAGAUCACUCGCAAUUAUGCAAAAUCUGGCUACAUGGCAAAGACUGGUCCUACGCAAAAAGAACCUUUCAAGAAGCGGUGGUUCAACUUAGAUUCUGAGGAGAGAAAACUACUCUAUUACAAAAAACCCUUGGACCCUUAUGAGCAGGGUGGCCUUUUCAUUGGAAGCCACAAAUGUGGAUACCAGGUCUCAGAAGGUUUGCCUAAAGGUAGCAAGUGGGAUGCUGGGAUUAUUAUUAAAACACCAGACCGAGAGUUUGUCUUUACUUGUGAAAACACCAGAGAACAGAAAGAGUGGCUAGAGGCUCUAAGACAGAUUGUUCUCCGUCCAAUGACAACACAGGACACAACAGUACCAACCUGGAGCAUAUACCACUGUUCACUCAUGGCAUAAAACUGGCGAAUAGUACGCUGCCCGGGCAGUGUUGGCUGCCAGAUGUGUCUUAUCUGAGAAGAGGUCAGUUUUAGAAAAUCAACCAAGAAAUAACAGUGACACAUGGUAAAGAGACUGAUUCUCCACUAAUAACUGUUUCGGAAAAGUGAAGAGGAAGAACCCUAAGCAAUGAAGAUUUUGAGGACAAUGCAGAAUCAUCUUCGGCAAUCAAGUCUGGGGAACUUUGCUCUCAGUGUUCGUUAUUCACAGUUCAUGUGAUUUGUAAGAUGUCAGAGACUGAUGAUUAACCUUUACGUUUUCAUUGAUGGAUGACAGAAACAAUUAUCAGACACUAGGUGGUGCUGUGAACUAUAUAUAGAGGUGUUCAUUAAGCAUUUUAUAUAGAAUGGCAUCUUUAAAAACAUGUACUGCCAUCAUACGAACCUAACAAGAGGAAGAUAUCAAUCAGAAAACCUAACAAGAGGAAGAUAUCAUUCAGAAAACCUAACAAGAGGAGUAAUAAAACACUAGAUUUCUAUUUCUAUGCCUUAAUCCACAACACAGAAAUUGAUACAGUACGGGUUCAGUAUGAAAUCCAGACAGUCAGAAUCCCAACCUUGAGCGCAGCAUGUCCCCUCGUGGGCUGUGUGGACCACCACCCAAGUGGGGUUUCUGGGUGGCGGUCGGAAAUGCAUUUCAGUGGGUGUCAGAACUUCAGCGUGGGUAUUUCAACUGCUGGGAUCCUGACUGAUGGGAAUUUAACUGCGUCCCAUUUAUAGACCCUAUCGCUAUUCCCCACUUGGCCCCUUCAGAGACUUCCCAGAGAGGCUGGAUGAAAACGCAGCAAGUAUUCUAUAUAAUACAUCAGGUAGAAUCAUGUUGCCACUUACAGCAAAAAUCAAUUGGCCUUACAAUCAUCUUUAAUAUGAUAUAGAUAAAACCAGACUGGACAGGAAAAGCUAGACAUGUGCCAUUAUCUACAACAAUAUAUGGAUUAACAUGAGGUCCUGCCUGUAAGACAACAUUAAUCAGUUUAUACUACAUAUACACAUCUGUUACUUCCCUCUGAAUAAUAUCCUCUGAAUGUCAAGGUAUUAUUGUCGGAAAUCUACAUUUGCAAGUAUAUAAUUUACACAAAUUCAGUAUUACAUUUAAAAAAUGAAACAUGAUUGGAAUCAUUAUCAUUUAAUUUAUACAAAAAGUAGGUGAAAAUGAACACUUUCACCUAUUUUUGCAGAAAUUAAGCAUCGAGGCUGUUCAUUAUAAAGGUAACGCAGGAGAUAUACUACAUUUGCAGAGCUUGACAGCAGUAACCUUCCCCAUCUUCAGAUUACAUUUAUUCCCCACUUCCUAUAGAAAAGGAGGUCUGGGUUGCAAAAGGGAUGCUUUCGGAUCCCUCUGCCCCUGAAUGGAUCCCUCCUUCUUAGUGCGCAUGUGCACUACCACUGCCAGGUCAGACUCAGCAGUACUGUGGAAGUAGCAGUGAUAGGGAUUGCAGGACAGCUGAUCUUCGGAUUAGCUGUCUGUGCACCAGAGCUCCUGUGUUUUAGUAUCCAGUAGCAGUGUUUAAUGAAUAGGCCCCUAUGUAAUGCUACUAGUUAUUUUGUAAAGGCCAUUUAUUCUUGCACUACAUUCUUCUUAGUGAACUACUUUUUCUUGACAGAAUCCAGCUGAGCAGGUUUCUGUUGUGUCAUUUUGCAUUAAAACUUCUUUAUAUCACA